rnacentral:lncRNA from 1 species
GGAGUGUAUCACUGCUCCACUCAAAAGAAAUAGCCAGGAAUAAUAAGGUGUAAAUCUUGCACCUGAGAUGAACAUUGAACAAGAAAAACAAAUUACCAUACAAUGAAAAAUAUUGGGCUGUGCCAAACUCCCAAUUCAAAUGACCUUUAUUGCCAAAGAACGAUAAUAUUAUUAUUAACCAUCUUGAGAUGUUUUACUAGAUAUUCUCAAAACAUCAUGACAACUGUCUUUACAACUAUAGAUGCUACUGCUAGAAAGGAACUUCAGGAAGUCAGUAAAAACUAAAAAUACAUAACUAAUAAACUAACAUGUCUGCUACGAAAUUCCAUGACAAAUAUUUACUUCAAUGAGAAGGAGUCAUUGCAAAAUCAAGACAAGAUCUCUAGCCUGCAGGAACAUUUAAAAAAAAGGCCUUGAUAAUCUAAUGCCAACAGUUACCAGGAAGCAAACAUUGGAUACCAGAAAAGUUGUAUAUAGUAAGUAAAAGAGAACAAUACCUGUUCAUUAUAGAGCUAACAAACGGUAAUGUUAAAUUGGUACUGAGAAGUGGCAGUUGAAUCUGAAUUGGCUAAAUCAAACAGCUCCUCAAAUCAACAAGAGAGAGUUUGCUAUAUGAGUUUUCACCGGUGAUCAAAUUGUUAUGAAAUAUGUGUAUUGUGACAUUCCUGAAAAUGAGGGCAUAUUAGAGAAAGGCACUUGUCUAAAUUAGUGAACAGUACCAAGGAAAAAAACCACUAACACAGGACAGAUGAACAUAAAAUCGCACAAUAAUCUUUCACUUACUUUUUACCCCAGAAUAUUAACAUGGUAAUAAAUUUCAAGAAACCUAAGGUAAACUAAUGGAUCUUGUUGCUUAAUUAGGCCAUUAUUUUAUUAUGAUUCAUGCAUUACAUACUUCCUUCUUCUAUUGUUACUUAACCGAGUCAACCAAGUGCAAAACUAUUUUUGUAAAAUAAGAAAAUUUGUACAUAUUAUAAUACAACCUCCUAAGUGCACUGAUAUCACCAACUACUUUGUGACAGGAAGUCAUCCCUGUAAAGAAUAUAUGUAAGCAUAAAAAUAUAACAGAAAGAAAGGUGAGCCUGGCGGGAGGAAGUGAAAAAUAAGAUCGUCCCACUGGUUCAACUGAAAAUUAAUUAUAAACUAAAUUCAGGGUAGUUCUUUGAAGAUGUAGAUGUCAUGCAGCAUUCAGAACAUCGGAUAUUUAACAAUAUGGACACUUUGAGGUUUAUAGCUUAUUCAUUAAAAUCACCAAUUCAACCUUGAAAAGCUAGUUCCGUUAACUAUGCAAUUAUCAUUGGAUCUAAUUAGAAUCAUAGUGCAUGUUUGUCUUGGCAUUGAAAAAGUAGCCCAGUUAAUGAAUUGAAGCAUGCAAACCAAGUCUCAAUUCAUUUCAAAUAUGCUCAAUAAAAUUGAGCUGAGCUAUGUCCCAACUCCCAAAGCCCAAACAUGAUUUUAGCCUCAACUUGUGUUAGUAACGUAAUAUAGUUUGUGUUUAAAGUAAUGAGCUAAUGAUACAUCCUCUAAGUCAUACUAAUCCAAAUUGCAACUGGUAUAAUAACAAGUUUGAAAAAAGCACCGAGGAAACUAUCCCUUUUCUCAAAAAGCACUAAAACCAGAUAUUAGAAGUUUUAUUAUAUAUGCAAAUAAAAGUAUAGAAAUAAUUAUAUUUUUGUAAAAUUUUAAGAAAAAUACUUCCUAAACAAUUUAAAUGAGCAUCGCCAUGCAUAAUAAACAUGCCUAGAUGGAGGCAACAGGAAUAUAUUUUUGUAAAAUUUGUUCACAAAAGACUUCCCAAAUAAUCAAAAUCUGCAUUUCAAUUAGCUACAUCUUCCGUAUACUAUGACAAAUGCUACUGGCAUGCUUGUUAUGAGCUGUAAGUGAGUGAAAGACCAGUUGAUACAGUGAAAGUGUGAAUCGAAGCAAAUUUCUAGUUUGUAACAAAAUCAAGUACUAUCCAACCUAAAAGUCAAAUCACUGACAAUUGUUGAACUAAUCACAAACUAGGAAGACCUAAAUAUAACUGGACAAUUCAAAGAAGGAAUGAACAACUGAUCUAUUAUAAAAAAUUAUCAAUUAAGUUACCUAGCUUGUUCUGGGCAAUGAACUGGCAUCUCUCUCCCCACUUUACCCAAACCUAGAAGCAUUCAAUUUAUUUUACAUGAACAAAGUGUUGGAUUAACAACUAAAUAAACAAUGAUAUUGAUGGAAUCAUCAAAGAAACCACACCUUUAAGAAAAUAGAUAAUGAGAUAUAUGGAAAGAUACAUAUAUGAAUGGUUCAUGCAACAGAUGAAUUUGAGCAACAUAAGACAUAGCAUACUAAGAUAUCUAGGACCUAAGAGGUAAAUUAUAAAUUUAACCAUGACAACCAAUCCUUUAAUUUCAUUGUUAUAAAUUAUCUUUGCAAUUAAAAAGGCAAAUUCAGCCUGUGCAUCUGCUUUCCACCAACUUUAAAAAGGGAGAUAUCCAUACAAGUUCUCAGUGAGCAUGAAACAAUAAUGACAUGUAUCCUAGGAAUUACAUCAAAUAAAUAAGUAAGUUUUGACUUUAACGGAAUUACUUUGUUACCUUGAUUUCUGACUGAAUAAAUUAAAUUUUUGGCAAAAAAAAAAGAGAAAUAAUGCAUUAUAAAAGAAACCUUAAUUUAAAACAGUAUAUUUCAUCUCCAAGGAAAUUUUUAUUUCUUUCAUUGUGGUUCAUACAGGACAGUUUCAUCAAUCAGUUAAUAUCUUAUCUGAUUCAUAUAAGAAUUUAUUGAGCUGACAACAAGCAAAACCUGUGUUUAUAAAAUGACCGGGUCAUAUUCCAAUGACAGUCAAGAAAUCAGAUAUCAAAGUAUUAAAAAAAAAAAAAAACAGGACCUGCUUGAACAGAUGCACUUACAGUGUAGUUCAAAAAAAUAUGCACUUUGGAAUACUUUUCAAUAGAAUUGCUAAAAUAAGAACAUAGACAAUAAUUAACAACUGAUAAAUGCUAAAAUAAGAACAUAGACAAUAAUUACGAAAGAGUUUUGUAUCAUUUUUCUACUCAUAUUUAUCUAUAUAACUAGGAACAUUAUCUUUAUCUAUAAAAUUGAUAUAUAUGCAUAAUAAAGAAAUAAUUAAUAGUCUACUCUCAUAGUUUCCAAAAUAUCAGAAUAUCCAUGAAAGUGCAAUUUUAAUGUACACAAUAUUAACCUGCUGAUAAGAAAGCGGGCGUGUAUCACUGCUCCACUCAAAAGAAAUAGUCAGGAAUAAUAAGGUGUAAAUCUUGCACCUGAGAUGAACAUUGAACAAGAAAAACAAAGAUCCGAAUGACUGGGAUUUCUUCAAUCCCAACCCAGCCACGUGCAUGUCCACACACAUAAGAUCAUCUCAAAAUACAAGGAGAAGGAAAAUUUGGAAAAGACAGAACAGGGGAAGCGACGAUGCAGGGACUCACC